CCUACGGGAGGCAGCAGUGAGGAAUAUUGGUCAAUGGGCGGAAGCCUGAACCAGCCAAGUAGCGUGCAGGAUGACGGCCCUACGGGUUGUAAACUGCUUUUAUACGGGAAUAACGAGCCUUACGUGUAGGGCUUUGCAUGUACCGUAUGAAUAAGGACCGACUAAUUCCGUGCCAGCGGCCGCGGUAAUACGGAAGGUCCGGGCGUUACCCGGUUUGAUAGGGUUUAAAGGGAGCGUAGGCCGCAUGUCAAGCGUGCUGUGAAAUGUCCGGGCUCAACCCGGGCCUGGCAGCGCGGACUGGCGUGCUUGAGUCCGCGGAAAGCAGGCGGAAUUCGUCGUGUAGCGGUGAAAUGCUUAGAUAUGACGAAGAACCCCGAUUGCGAAGGCAGCUUGCUGCAGCGGAACUGACGCUGAUGCUCGAAAGCGCGGGUAUCGAACAGGAUUAGAUACCCGGGUAGUC
rnacentral:rRNA from 1 species